ACCCGGAAGUUGCUUGAAGAAAGCGGGGCAAAGUGAGUUGCCCCCUGGAAGGUGCCUUAGAGAUCUGCUUUUGCAGGGAAGAGGGAGGGCUGGUUGCUAUGGAAGGCUCCUCACAGCUUCAAUAUCCUCAAGGCUCCAGGUGUGAUGGACUGAAAGGCGAUACUGGUUGGGGAUGAUGGUGAUGACGGUCGCCCCCGCUUUCAAAUUGAUUAAAAAAAACGCAGCAGAGAGUUCCAUAGAUUACUCUCCAAAAGAACGGAGUGGGACCGCAACAGACUAUUAUUAAAAGACCUUUUUUCCUUCAUUUUCCUCUUCCCUGAACUAUGUAACAAAUCCCCCCAAUAAAAGUAGCAUUUAUUUUAACAAUAACACUCUCUAUCUGGUUAUUUUGUAUCUUUCCCUGACUCCUUCCUUCGCAUGCAAUCACUCUCUCUCCCUCCCGUCCUUUUAACUCCGGCUGAGAUUCCCUGCCAUAGAUUAACAUGGCGGUCGAUAUAAAUUGGCUCAUAUCUCUAUCAAAAUUACCCCUAGAACGCUCCUCUUUUAGUCCUAACCCUUUCUAAGGCUCCUGACUCGAAGACAACCAGCAGAACCGGAAUCGGUCCAGUUUUCGGCACCUCAUCAGCUGACUGUCAAAACGGGAUCGACAGCUCCCUUCAAGCCAAGCUGCUGCCUUAUCCCGGGUUUUCCUCUCCCCGCGACUCGCGGAAUGGCUUUCCCUAGCCCCUUUCUGUGAAUUGGGGAUGGGGGGGAUCGCUCUCUCGCGGGGGAGACAUAGUUCUCCAAGGACCCUCACCCUCUACAGCUGCCAGGGGGUGACGGACGGGUGCACUCCACGUUCCAUGCAUACUUUUGUGAUUUUAUGAAGAAGAAGAACACUCUUCCCCAGACCUACCCUUGGACUUAUGAAAUCCUAUACCUCCAAAGACUUACUAACCCAUAUGUGCCCCUUCCCCAUGCCAUCUCUAUGAAUUCCCUAUGAACUCUUUCUCCUCAUGCAUUUGUGAAUAUUCAUAUUCUAUGUACUUGGACACACUCAUGACUCGCUGUGUAUGAAUUUCAAAUCGUUGGGCUAACUUCAUGAAUUGUGAAAUCAUGCUGCUUGAACCCCACUUCUAUAUUGGAUUCCCCAGAUGUUGUGAACUUCGUCCUUAUCAAAUGUUUUCUAUUGCUUAUUUCUAUUGUUUAUAUCAUUCAUGAUUCCCCUUUAUGCAAUGUCACCCAUCUUUAUGGAUUCUCCUUUAUCUCCUUUAUCUACCUAUCUGCCUAUAUGUAUUUAUACUCUUUGGGAUCCCCGGAAAAUAUGUGUUUUUCCCAGCUGGGUUUAUAUUCCAACUUUAUUUUUAAUUUUCAUUUUAUCCCAUAUAAUUGGCAGAUCAUGAAAUCAAAUGGGAAAUAUUAUGACCCCAACCUGAACUCUAGCCC